rnacentral:rRNA from 1 species
GACGAACGCUGGCGGCGUGGAUUAGGCAUGCAAGUCGAACGGUAUCAUCCUUUCGGGGGUGAGAGAGUGGCGAACUGGUGAGUAACACGUAGGUUAUCUACCCUCAAGACGGGGACAACCCAGGGAAACUUGGGCUAAUACCGGAUGUGAGCAACUUUUAGUUGUUUGAAAGGUGGCGUAAGCUGUCGCUUGAGGAUGAGCCUGCGUCCUAUUAGUUAGUUGGUGAGGUAACGGCUCACCUAGGCAAUGAUAGGUAGGCGGCCUUAACGGGUGGUCGCCCACACUGGGAUUGAGAUACGGCCCAGACUCCUACGGGAGGCAGCAGUCGAGAAUAGUCUACAAUGGUCGGAAGACUGAUAGUGCGACGCCGCGUGAACGAUGAAUCCCUUCGGGGUGUAAAGUUCUUUUAUAUGUGAGCAGUGCUUCUUAUAUUAACAGUAUGGGGAGAGAGAUAUUAGCAUAUGAAUAAGCAACGGCUAACUCCGUGCCAGCAGCCGCGGUAAAA